UCCCACAUCGGCAACUAUGAUACCUCCAUCACUGGUGCUGCCCUAGAACACAACGACAGUUUCAGGCAGUCGGCGACGGCAGCAGAAGCGGGUUGUUCUGGCUAGAUAGAUCGCUGGCGUCAUCGGCGACGUUCCCAUGCUUACCGUCAGCUGCUAUUACGCCUAUAACCCGAUCAGCCAUUUCGAGCAUUGUUACAUGAUACACAAAUGAAAAAAUUUAGUAGCAACGAUUCUAGGAUAUUUUUACAUAUGCAUGAUUAUCUUACGUUUUGCAUGAUAAUGAGAAAAGAGAAAAGUAUAAUCGAAUGCAUACCUUGUUCUUUUUUGCCAUUGUUAGUUGGGUUAACACUGAAAAUUUAUAGUACUUUUUUUCUCAUUUAAGAAAAAAAAAUAGAAAAGAACAUGAAGUUUAUGAGGAUUGCUUUGCGGAUUUACCUCUUUCACAAUAUCUAAGUAAUAGUAAACACAAUGGAAUUACCAGUACGCCAUUUUUGGUGUCGAAGUUAUUCUUGGCUCCAUCCUAAAUUGCUCUGUAAGACGUAGACAAUAGAACCUAGCGACAGCGGUGCAAAUGAAACUGCCCGCAUUUAUUCCAACAACAUAAUAUCAUUAUAUGUAUAAUCUUUUCACAGAAUGAAUACAUCAUGACUAUAGUCAGAAAUUACUCGAAUAGGGAUCUGUGCUCUUAUAAUUAAUAGUUCAAUAAAAAAGCCAUCCAUCCUUUAAAUUUACACAUGUUUUAUCAUCGAUCAAAGGAACGAAAUUCGAGGUACUAUGACACUAAAUGCCGAUGACUUGAAUAAAUGGACUUAAAAAUACGUUAAGAUACUACAUAUAGCAUAGAUAUUUGUAUAAUGUAAUAGUCGUUCAACUUUUGAGAUGGUCAACCAACAACAAGAUAGAUCUAGCGUUCUGAUUUGCGGCGAAAUUGAACAUCUGUUUCCUGAUGAUAUUUUUACGCUAAAAGGCCGUGUUAACCGUGUUGCUGCGUGCUGCAAAUAAAGUGAUGCUCUGAUUGAUUUAUUGUAUAAUUGUCUUAAUAAGUGCGCUAAGCUGACCUACAAGAUAAAUUUAUCAAAUCAUUAAUUUUUGCAUGAAAUAUAGCAAUGCUUUUUAUAUAAACAUUUCUUGGCCACAGCUCGCUUUACUUGAAUUCACUUGACAAUAGUACUCUCAUGCAUCAAGUGAAUUGCAGAAGAAUGGUUCAUUCAACUACUAAAAAAAGAAAACGAAACAUGGUGAACUAAAAACUAACAAAGAUUGUACAAAGAACGUGCUUGGUAUCCUUCUGUCAUAAACAACUUCGCGCAAACUUCAUACAUCGAAACUGAACCGUGCUAAUCUUUGGGAACGAACGGUUAAUCGCCUAUGUACUGCAUACUAUUUUCUGAGACAGUGGGCAUUUUGGUGUUUAUUAGAUGACCUUUUGAGGUACAUUGACGUGGGCCUUAAUGAAACCUCAACUCUGCUAUAAAUUGAUACUAUUAUUAUUGAUAUUAGCAAACUAACAUCUAAAAUGCCUUUCCUCUAUACAAUUAUAUAAUUUAUUAAGAAACAUACAUUUACCAUAAUUAUCACGCUGGUGUGCUCUCCUUUUGAGGCCCUCCUUGGUUUUGGAUGCUCUUAAUAAAUACAAUCCAGUUCACUUAAACCCCACUCAUUAUUAUUACAUGAUCACAAUUCUUCUUCUUCAAGUUCUUUUUUAUCCUUGCCUUUUUCUUCUUUUGUUUGCUUUUUAGCCCUGACCGGAUGCGUCUAAAGGGGAAUGUUUCUACAUAACCAACAGAUACAAUUCGAACGAGCAUUAUAUAAUGUUUAGAACGACUUCCAUACCAUCUUAAAUUUAUACUUCCUUUACCCGGGCAUGGUAAACCUUUUUGUUACCCUUCCCACUUACAUCUCAGCCACUACCUAAUUACCAUCACUCUUUCGCUAUAUUUAUCUAUAUUAUAUAUAUUUUCACUAAUGAUAUUCUAAAAGUACAGUAGAAGCACAGACUCUGGUAUCGGGUAAUGUUGUGUAAUGAGUGGGUAGCUAUUUAUAAUAGAUCGUCACGUAAAUCUUUCUCAUUUUCCCUUUACAGUUUUCCAUUAAGUCUAAAUAAUUCGUUAUAGUUUUAAUAGCAGUAAAAGUAAUAAUUAGCCAUCGUCGUUUUCUUUUAUACAUAUACCACUCGUCUGAUUCGCUUCUUGUUCUUACGCGAUACAAUAAAACGCUCAUUUACGCUUUCUCCAGUUUUUUCCUGUUUUUCCUCAAAUUUUUAAAAAGUCACAUGUCCUCCUAGGGAGGAGACAAAACAAGAAAUUGUUGAGCACAGCCGUACUGAGGUUUUUUCCUUUACUUCGCUUACGAUCGGUGCAUGCAUGAGUUAUUUUUAUCAACUAUCGUUGAGCUACGUAAGUUGUUGUUG